rnacentral:rRNA from 1 species
UACGUAGGGUGCAAGCGUUUGUCCGGAAUUAUUGGGCGUAAAGAGCUCGUAGGCGGUCUGUCGCGUCGGCUGUGAAAACCCGGAGCUCAACUCCGGGCCUGCAGUCGAUACGGGCAGACUGGAGUUCGGCAGGGGAGACUGGAAUUCCUGGUGUAGCGGUGAAAUGCGCAGAUAUCAGGAGGAACACCGGUGGCGAAGGCGGGUCUCUGGGCCACUACUGACGCUGAGAAGCGAAAGCAUGGGGAGCGAACAGG